UGUGAGGAUCGACCAGGAAGAGCUUUAGGGAGCUCAAACCCUAACUUCAACAAAUCCAUCAAAUUGAAGGUCAAAUCUGGUCCAAAUCGGAUGCAUGAACACAUAUUAAUGAUCACCAAGUCGUGGGGAUCACAAGUUUGACGCUCAACGAGCUAGGUGAAAGGCUUGGGGAAGGAAGCGGGUCAAACGAAUCAAGAAUGAAGG